UUUCCGUAGGUGAACCUGCGGAAGGAUCAUUAUUGUAUAACCGAGGUGCGAGGGCUGUCGCUGACCCGAAAGGUCGUGCACGCCCGAGUGCCCUCACACACAUCCAUCUUACCCCUAUGUGCACCACCGCGUGGGUCCCCCUUUGGCUUGUUCGGAGGGGGGCUUACGUUUUCACACAAACUUUGUAUGCAGUGUAGAAUGUAUUUUUUGUUCUUGCGAUCACGCAAUCAAUACAACUUUCAACAACGGAUCUCUUGGCUCUC
rnacentral:misc_RNA from 1 species